AACUUGUAGCAACGGAUCACUUGGUUCUGGCAUCGAUUAAGAACGCAGCGAAAUGCGAUAAGUAAUGUGAAUUGCAGAAUUCAGUGAAUCAUCGAAUCUUUGAACGCACAUUGCGCCCCUUGGUAUCCCGGGGGGCAUGCCUGUUCGAGCGUCAUUACAACCCUCAAGCUCUGCUUGGUCUUGGGCGUCACCGGUCCCGGUGUGCCUUAAAAUCAGUGGCGGCGCCAUCUGGCUCUAAGCGUAGUACAUACUCUCGCUACAGACGUCCGGUGGAUGCUGGCCAGCAACCCCCAACUUAUCAAGGUUGACCUCGGAUCAGGUAGGGAUACCCGCUGAACUUAAGCAUAUCAAUAAGCGGAGGC
rnacentral:misc_RNA from 1 species